rnacentral:lncRNA from 1 species
GCGUCCGCGGCCCGCGCGCCCGCGCGGCGGAGGAGAGGUGUUAAGUGUGAUGCUUCCAUAAUACAUUUGGAUGCUGUCAGCUAAGUUCACUUCUGAACUAAGGGGUUCCUCCAAAUGUUGGCUGAAAUUCAUCCCAAGGCUGGUCUGCAAGUGAGUGUCUGCACACAGUUUGCUUAGUCUGCAAUUCAUAAUGGAGCUACUGUACUGGCUAUUGGAAGGAGGAGAUUCUGAAGAUAAGGAGGUAAAACCUGUUUAGAAAUUAAAAAUGAGUUACGAUUUAAAGAAAAUUCAGAUGACUCAUUGUGAGUGCUAGUUCUCUUGUAGGAUGCCACUGGAAAUGUUGAAAUGAAAAAUAUUCAGCCGUUGGUCUUUGAAAUUUCCUGUGAUGUGUUUCAAUCUAGAUGCAAAGAACAUGGAAAAAUCAAAGUGCUCGAGUGGUUUAAAUAUGUUUUGGGUAUUCCUGUUUAUAGACUAUAAUACUUUUCCAAUUAAAAUCCUCAGUUGUCACGCAGAAGAAGGUUAAGCUGUAUUUGAUUGCCAGUUUUACUGAAAAUGCUUAGUAUUUUACAGUAUCACCAAAUAUAUUUUGUUUAGCCAAGGUAUAGGAAAAAUAAAAUAAAUUGUAUAGGUUGACUUUUUUCUAAAAUGUCUUUAUUGGAUUGAAUGAAUGUUUAUACCUGAAAAAAAAAGGUUCAAAAAAA